AUUGAACGCUGGCGGCAGGCCUAACACAUGCAAGUCGAGCGGAUGAAGGGAGCUUGCUCCUGGAUUCAGCGGCGGACGGGUGAGUAAUGCCUAGGAAUCUGCCUGGUAGUGGGGGAUAACGUCCGGAGACGGGCGCUAAUACCGCAUACGUCCUGAGGGAGAAAGUGGGGGAUCUUCGGACCUCACGCUAUCAGAUGAGCCUAGGUCGGAUUAGCUAGUUGGUGGGGUAAAGGCCUACCAAGGCGACGAUCCGUAACUGGUCUGAGAGGAUGAUCAGUCACACUGGAACUGAGACACGGUCCAGACUCCUACGGGAGGCAGCAGUGGGGAAUAUUGAACAAUGGGCGAAAGCCUGAUCCAGCCAUGCCGCGUGUGUGAAGAAGGUCUUCGGAUUGUAAAGCACUUUAAGUUGGGAGGAAGGGCAGUAAGUUAAUACCUUGCUGUUUUGACGUUACCAACAGAAUAAGCACCGGCUAACUUCGUG
rnacentral:rRNA from 1 species